rnacentral:lncRNA from 1 species
AUUUUUUACCUUCUGACUUUGAAGAUGAGAUUAAAGCAAAAAUUAUGAAAGUUGUUCCUAGGAAACUGAAAGAAACAGCUUUGCCAACUAUCCACUUGAAGCCUGAAAAUAUAAAUAAAGAUAUGAGUAGGCCUAAACACUCUAACAGGACUCAGAGAAUUGAGAUUAGGAAAAACAAAGUAUUGCUAAAAGAACUCAUGGAAGAAAAAGCAGCAAAAAUAAAACCAGACUUUGACCAAGAAGUCAAUAUUCAAUCCUUUAUGGAGAAUGAAUUAGAAAGCUUGAAGUUACAAUACAAGAAAAUGAUAGACUAAAACAAACAUUAGAAGAAUAUAGAAUUAAACAACUUUCAUUGGAGCACAGAAUAGUUGAUUUGGAAACCAAAUUAAAGAAUGAGGAAAAAUGCACUCGAGAAAAGAUAAAAGAAUUAUUUUCUGAAGUAUUUACAAAAA